rnacentral:rRNA from 1 species
AUGACUCUCAAUAAUGGAUAUCUUGGCUUGUGCAUCAAUAAAGAACAUAGCAAAAUGUGAUACUUGGUGUGAAUUGUAGAAUCUUGCAAACCAUUGAGUCUUUGAAUGCAAGUUGCACCCCAAACCAUUAGGUUAAGGGCAUGCCUACCUGGUUGUCAUGCAUUGUCACCCCUCUAACACCUUACCCAUCAGGCUCUGGGUAAAGGAGUGUAAGAUGGCCUAUCGCGAUCUUAUUGGUCAUAGUUGGCCCAAAAUUGAGUCCUCUGCAAUGAUAAUGCUAUGACCAUUGGUGGUAAAGCUCCCAAUAUGCCUCAUAUUCGAUGACACAUGCUUGUUGUCCAUCUGGACCCCAUCGGACCCCCUUAUCACAUGGUUGAUGCUCACAUUGUGACCUUAGGUCAACCAAAAUUACUCGAUGAGUUUAAGCAUAUCAAUAGGCAAAGGAAAAGAAACUUACAAGGAAUUCCCUAGUAAUGGUGAGCGAACUUUGAAAAGCCUAACUUAAGAAUUGAGCACCCUCAAUGUCUGAAUUACAGUUUAGAGAAGUGUCCUCAAUGGCAAACUGAACCUAAGUCCCCUAAAAAAGGGCAUUAGAGAGCAUGAAAGCCCAAUUGUGCUUAGACUCUAUCGCACUAUAAGGCACUACAAGUGAGUUGGGUUGUUUGGGAAUGUAGCUUCAACCAGGCGAUAAAUUCUAUCCAAGGCUAAAUACAGAUGAAAGAUCGAUAGUGAACAAGUACCAUGAGGGAAGAUGAAAACGACUGUGAAAAGUGAGUCAAAUAGUGCUUAAAAUUGUCAAGAGGGAAACAUAUAGGGGCUGGUGAAGCACAUCAAUUGGAUGUGGAACAAUGAGAGCCGAUUUAUCGAUCGACUCAGGGCAUGGGACCGAUGUAGGUCAUGGCCCCAGCCUAAGCUUGGGUUUUCGAUAUGCUUAUGGCAACAUCAUCUCUAUGAUCAUGGAAUGUAGCACAUACCAUCUUGGUGUGCCUUGGCACUGAUGUGCUCCUAGCAUUUACUUGCAGGCUCUCCAUUUGACCUAUCUUGAAACAUGGACUAAGGAGUUUGGCAUGUUUGCAUGUCAACGAGCUAGAAAACUCAUAAGGCACAAGGAAAUUGAUUGACGGGAUCCUUCACAACUGCACCACUGAUCAACUUUGGUCUUCUAAGAAGGGUUUAAGUGUGAGCAUGCUUAUAAAGACUCAAAAAAUGGUGAACCAUGCUUAAGCAUGGCAAAGCCAAAGAAACUCUAGUUAAGGCCCACAGCGAUACUGACAUAUAAAUCAUUCAUCUAACAUGAGUAUAGGGGUGAAAGACUAAUCAAUCUAUCUAGUAGUUGGUUCCCUCCAAAGUUUCCUUUAGAAUUACUAGAGCCAUUAGCGAGUUAUAUUUGGUAAAGCCAAUGAUUAGUGGCAUUAGGGGUGCAACACCCUCAACCUAUUCUCAAACUUUAAAUAGGUAGGAUGGCACGAUUGCUUCACUGAGCCAUGCCACAAAAUUGAGAGCUCCAAGUGGGUCAUUUUUGGUAAGCAAAACUAACAAUGCGAGAAAAACCAAAAGCCAAGUUAUGGUGCCCAAUUAUGCAUUAACCUAGACUCAUAAAGGGUGUUGAUCAAUUAAAAUAGUAGGACGAUGGUUAUAGAAGUUGAAAUCCACUAAGGAGUGUGUUACAACUCACCUACCAAAUCAACUUGCCUAAAAAAUGGAUGGCGCUUAAGCACGUGACCUAUUCUCGACUAUCAGGGUAAGGGCUAGGCUCCAAUGAGUACAGGGCGUAGCGAUCACCGUAAAACCCAAGGUAAGAGCCCUAGUGGAGUGGCCAUCGAUGUAGAUCUUAGUGGUAGUAGUAAAUUUUCAAAUGAGAACUUUGAAGGCUAAAUAAAGGAAAGGUUCCAUGUGAAUGGCACUUGCGCAUGGGUUAGUUGAUCCUAAAAAAUGGGAAAAGCCCAUCCGAUAGCACAUCUGGUGUGAGCUUCGAAACAAAAUUGAGUUAUAAUUCUUAAACUAAGACACGAUGGUUGAUGGUAUCAUUAAGGAGUUUGAAAACAUCAGUAAGGGCCUCAGAAAAAAUUAAAUUUUUUAUUUAAUAGCUUGCCCACCCUAGAAAUGGCUCAGCCAGAGGUAGGGUCCAAUGGUCGAAAGAGCUCCACUCAUUAUGUGGUGUCUAUGCUCGAUCGUACUCAUAAUCACAUUAGGUCUCCAAGGUGAAUAGCCUCUAGUUGAUAGAAUAAUGUAGGCAAGGGAAGUCGACAAAAUGGAUCUAUAACCUUGAGAAAAGGAUUGGCUCUAAAGGUUAGGAAUUGGGGUCCCAGACUUAAAGCCAUUAGCUAUUGGUGCACUACUCGAGUUGCUCCCAUGGUGAGAGUGGGUCAUUGUGUGUAGACCAAGGGACAGAUUAGGAAUGGCUCCUUUAGGGGCCCUCUUAGGGCGACAAACAGUCAACUUAGAACUAGUACAGACAAGGGGAAUUCAAUUGUUUAGUUAAAACAAAGCAUUACCAUGGUCCUUAUGGAUGCUCAUGUAAUAUGAUUUCUACCCAGUGCUCUGAAUUUCAAUGUGAAGAAAUUCAACCAAGUGCGGGUGAAUGGCAAGAGUAACUAUGACUUUUUUAAGGUAACCAAAUGCCUCAUCAUCUAAUUAGUGAUGCACAUGAGUGGAUUAAUGAGAUUCCUACUAUCCUUGCCUAUUAUCUUGUGAAACCAUAAUGACAUUGCUUUUUGAUCCUUUGAUGUUGACUUUCCUAUCAUUAUAAAGCAAAAUUCACCAACUAUUGGAUUGUUCACCCACCAAUAGAGAAUGUGAGUUGGUUUUAGACCAUCAUGAGACAGGUUAGUUUUAUCCUAUUGAUGGUAAAUGCCACAAUAGUAAUUCAACCUACUAUGAAGGAACCAUUGAUUUGCACAAUUGGUCAUUAUGCUUGGUUGAAAAGGCAGUGGUCUAAAGCUAACAUGUGUUGGAUUAUGAUUGAAUGCCUCUAAGUUAGAAUCUAGGCUAAAAGUGAUGCAUGUGCCUACCUUUAAUUGCUGACCUAUAGUAAGGGCUCAUGCCCCUAAGGGCAAAUGUUGUAGGUGUAGCCCUAGUGGUAGACAAGCCAUGUGAGCCUCCUUAGAGCUCAAUUCCCAUCGAGCGAUGGGUAGAAUCCUUUACAGAUGUCAACACUUGGUGUGGGCACUUGCCUUAACCACCAUCUGUGCAAGCAGGCCCUUGGUGUGGGCUGUUACCUCAAACAACUCUUUGGUAAAUGUCGACACUAGAUGUGGGUUGUUGCCUUGGACACCCCUUUGGUAGAUGCUAGCACUUGGUGCAGCAUGUGUACCAUGACCUUCCCACCCAUGGCACUUGUUUGCCUUUCAAUCACCAUGGGCACCAAAUAAUGCUCAAUGCAUGUGUCAGCAUCUCUAAUCUUAAGCCAAACUCUAUGUCGCCUUGGUCAGGGAAUUGACUUCACCUGCCUAAGCCACAAAUUUAAUUCGAACCAUGAUUGUGUUUAGGCAUGCCCACACUUAGGUCUGACCAUUCACCUACACCUUGAUCAUCAGU